GGGCCUAUAGCUCAGUUGGUCAGAGCAGCGGACUCAUAAUCCGUUGGUCCUAGGUUCAAGUCCUAGUGGGCCCACCA
rnacentral:tRNA from 2 species